rnacentral:rRNA from 1 species
UACGUAGGGGGCGAGCGUUGUCCGGAAUUAUUGGGCGUAAAGAGCGCGUAGGCGGUCCGGUAAGUCCGCUGUGAAAGUCCAGGGCUCAACCCUGGAAUGCCGGUGGAUACUGCCGGGCUAGAGUCCGGAAGAGGCGAGUGGAAUUCCUGGUGUAGCGGUGAAAUGCGCAGAUAUCAGGAGGAACACCGAUGGCGAAGGCAGCUCGCUGGGACGGUACUGACGCUGAGGCACGAAGGCCAGGGGAGCAAACGGG